AACACCAAUAGAAAAACAUGACAUGUGAUUUUUAUUCCCCAGGAAAUCAUGUACAUAAGCACUUGUACUGAAUUCACCACUACCUCCUGUGUUUGUCCUGUAUUGGUUCUACAUUCCUUGAUGAGCCCAAUGGUCUCAUGAAAUGUGCACCAUGUUCCAGCUGUGAUUCAGAUUUGGGUUUGAGGGUGAAACAGCCAUGCAAAGCACAAUCAGAUGAUUUUUGUGAGCCACUGGAGGGGUUCUUUUGUUGGUUCUCAAACAAAAAUGGUUGUARRAUAGCCCAGAAACACAGAARCUGUAAACCUGGUCAWUACAUCMAUCACACAGGUUGGUCUCCUUUCAAGUAUUCAACAUGAUUUUGUCAUGAUUUCUAGUGUGCCAAGUUAUUCUACUGAAUUAAAARUAGCUGAUUAUUUGAUUGAAAUCAUUAGACAAUUAAAAUCCAGAGUYAAGAUUAGUACAUGGGGAAAGUUUAAGUACGAUGGUCACAAGUUUGUUUUGGGAAGACAAUUCUUUAAUUAUUUUUUAUUUAAACUUAUAUUUCAAUCCUCUGUUUAUGCAGGAACAACAUCUACAGAUACUGUGUGUUCUGACUGUACUGGUGAUACCUAUUCAGAUGGAUCAUUAACAGCCUGCCAGCCACACACAGAAUGUGAAUCCUUGGGACUUCAGGAAAUUAAACCAGGAUCUCCUUGGUCGGAUUCAGAGUGUGGACCACAGCUAUCCCAUUCCACAGAUAGAAGCAGAAUUGUUUCCCUGGCAGUUGUCAUUAUAUUACCUGGAGGGGCUUUCUUAUUAAUAAUGGUGGGAAGAAGGUACAGAAGGAUCCUUAACAGCUUCUGCUGUUAAGACUGCUGAACAUUUAAUCAAAUGGCCACCCGGACUAUUUACAUUGGCA